UACGUAGGGGGCAAGCGUUGUCCGGAAUCAUUGGGCGUAAAGAGCGUGUAGGCGGCCCGAUAAGUCCGCUGUGAAAGUCCAGGGCUCAACCCUGGAAUGCCAGUGGAUACUGUCGGGCUCGAAUCCGGAAGAGGUGAGUGGAAUUCCUGGUGUAGCGGUGAAAUGCGCAGAUAUCAGGAGGAACACCGGUGGCGAAGGCGGCUUUCUGGACGACAACUGACGCUGAGACGCGAAAGCGUGGGGAGCAAACAGG
rnacentral:rRNA from 1 species